GCAUGCAGUACCUCACUUUGGGAGGUGCCAUCCAUGUGGAUAGAGAUAUGAUUGGCACUUUUCUAAGUGAAGUAAUGCAUGA
rfam:Loxodonta africana unplaced genomic scaffold scaffold_81, whole genome shotgun sequence.